GACGAACGCUGGCGGCGUGCUUAACACAUGCAAGUCGAACGUGAAGCCUUUCUUCGGAGAGGUGGAAAGUGGCGAACAGGUGAGUAACGCGUAGACAACCUGCCCUUCGAUGGGGGAUAGCCCCGGGAAACUGGGAUUAAUACCGCAUGACGCACCGGGACCGCAUGGUCCUGGUGUUAAAGAUUUAUCGUCGGGGGAUGGGUCUGCGUGACAUUAGGUAGUUGGUGAGGUAACGGCUCACCAAGCCAACGAUGUCUAGCUGGUCUGAGAGGACGACCAGCCACACUGGGACUGAGACACGGCCCAGACUCCUACGGGAGGCAGCAGUGGGGAAUAUUGGACAAUGGGGGCAACCCUGAUCCAGCGACGCCGCGUGUGUGAAGAAGGCCUGCGGGUUGUAAAGCACUUUUAGUGGGGAGGAAGGUCUGCGACCUAACACGUCGUGGAAUUGACUUAACCCACAGAAAAAGCACCGGCUAACUCUGUGCCAGCAGCCGCGGU
rnacentral:rRNA from 1 species